rnacentral:rRNA from 1 species
UAUGUGAUCGUCUCUCGCAUAUCAAUAAGCGGAGGAAAAGAAACUAACAAGGAUUCCCCUAGUAACGGCGAGUGAAGCGGGAAGAGCUCAAAUUUGAAAUCUUAAAGGGUUUCCCUUUACGAAUUGUAGUUUAAAGAAGUGUUUUCUGUUGAGGUUUUGGUAAAAGUUCUUUGGAAUAGGACAUCAUAGAGGGUGAGAAUCCCGUAUUUGACCUUUACUUUCAACUUUGUGAUACACUUUCAAAGAGUCGGAUUGUUUGGGAAUGCGGUCCAAAAUGGGUGGUAAAUUUCAUCUAAAGCUAAAUAUUGGCGAGAGACCGAUAGCGAACAAGUACCGUGAGGGAAAGAUGAAAAGAACUUUGAAAAGAGAGUUAAACAGUACGUGAAAUUGUCAAAAGGGAAGCGUUUGACACCAGUGUUGUUUUUCUGAAAAUCAAUUAAAGAACUGUUUAUGCUAAGCUGUUUAGACUUUAUCAGCUAUCUGUUUAGUUUUGAGCUUUUCUUUAAUGCACUUUUCAGUUAACAAGUCAACAUCAAUUUCUUUUGCUGUAAAAAAGCUUGAGGAAGGUGGCUUGAGAUUCGUCUUAAGUGUUUAUAGCCUCUUGCCUAUGUAGUCGGAGAGAUUGAGGUCUGCAGCGUAGAUCCUUCGGGGCUAAAUGCAUUUGUGCUAAGUUAUAGCAUUUUAUAGACAACUUGUUGACUAUGAUUUGUCUUGUAGCUUACUCGCUUAUGUUAUUUUACCUACGCUUAGGAUGUUGAGCGCAUGUCUCUCUCU